UAGCAAUACACACUGGCGCACGGGUGAGUAACGCGUAGAUCAUCUGCCCCUAUCACCGACAUAACUCUUGGAAACGGGAGCUAAUAUCGGAUGAGGUGAGCAAUCAUCAAAGUUUCGACGGAUAGGGAUGAGUCUGCGUCUGAUUAGGUAGUUGGUGAGGUAAUGGCUCACCGAGCCUACGAUCAGUAGCUGGUCUGAGAGGACGAACAGCCACACUGGAACUGAGACACGGUCCAGACUCCUACGGGAGGCAGCAGUGAGGAAUAUUGGACAAUGGGAGCAAUCCUGAUCCAGCAAUGCCGCGUGUGGGAUGACGGGGCUUUGCCUUGUAAACCACUGUCGGACGGGACGAGAAGAGGUAAGAACCUCUGGGACGGUACCGUCAAAGGAAGGAUCGGCUAACUACGUGCCAGCAGCCGCGGUAAUACGUAGGAUCCAAGCGUUGUCCGGAUUUACUGGGUAUAGAGGGUGCGUAGGCGGCUUUUUGCGUCAGAGGUGAAAUCCACGGGCUUAACCCGUGGGGUGCCUUUGAAACGGGAAGGCUUGAGUAUGACAGAGGCGGAUGGAAUUCCUGGUGUAGCAGUGAAAUGCGUAGAUAUCAGGAGGAACACCGGUGGCGAAGGCGGUCCGCUGGGUCAUAACUGACGCUGAGGCACGAAAGCGUGGGGAUCAAACAGGAUUAGAUACCCUGGUAGUCCACGCCUUAAACGAUGUAUGCUUGGUGUUGGAACAGCAAUGUUUCAGUGCCGGAGGGAAUCUAUUAAGCAUACCACCUGGGGAGUACGAUCGCAAGGUUGAAACUCAAAGGAAUUGACGGGGGCCCGCACAAGCGGUGGAUUAUGUGGGUUAAAUUCGAUGCAACGCGAAGAACCUUACCCGGGCUCGAAGUGCAGGUAGUAA
rnacentral:rRNA from 1 species